GCCAGGCAUGGUGGCACACGCCUGUAAUCCCAGCACCUUGGGAGGCUGAGGCAGGAGGAUGGGGUCUGAGGCCAGCCUAAGCAACUUAGUGAGACCCUGGCUCAA
rnacentral:sRNA from 1 species